rnacentral:lncRNA from 1 species
GCAGACAGUGCCCGUGCCGGGGCGGGGAGGCGAGUUCUCCCUGCGGCCGCGGACCCUGGAUGGUGGCGUCGCCCGAAGACGCGCCUCACCGGCCUGGGUGGGGUUGCCUUUUGCCCUCGAGGCUGGCCUAAGCGCUGGGGGGCCGCUGGCUAACCCUGAGGUAGAUACUCGGGAAAUGGGUGGAAUAGGGAAAGGGACUCAGCCCUUCCGCCCUUUUCCCCAGUCGAGGCCCGCGUCACUGCCCUGUGGGUGCAGACGCCUCCAGUGUCACUCCCCUGGAUUUCGCUUGGGCAGAAGAAGAGAUUGUAGGCCGGACCCCAACGCCGAAGCCCUGAGGCUUCUAAUGUGAGGAAAAACACGGAAUGACAAGUGUGGGAAAGAGCAAGCACUAAAUUACUGUCAGAAAAAUAAACGGAGUAGCACAGUGCUGCUCGGUGAUUUACGGGGGCAAUUAGUCACCACCCCACGGCGCUGCUGAGGACAGCACGGCAGCAGACAAGUCAGGCCCAUGAGGAAGAAGAGGCUUUGCACUGCUCUCCAGACAACUUUUCAAACAACAAGAGAGGAUAUUUGAGCACAUUAGGUUUUGUGUCUUCAUUCUGGCCGUGUGAAGAUGUGCCUGCUUCGCCUUCCAUCAUGACUGAAGUUUCCUGAGGCCUCCCCAGCUAUGCUCCCUAUACAGCCUGCAGAACGGUCGGCUGCCUCCAAUCCUGAGGUCAUCACUCAUCAAGAGGGGAUAAUCCCAGGGACAGCAGGAUCUGCUUCGUUACUUGGAUUUAGGAGCCAGAAACCCAUCAGGCAACUAAACAGUAACAAUGACCCGCCAUUAAACACACUGAGAGAAGAGCAUGAUGAAGAGUUUGUACAAGAAGAAGCCAGGAGCACUUGCUGACAAUGCUUACAGAGACGCAGGCUUCUAUGAGCUCUGCCUGUUGAACUGCAGUAAAAAUAGAUCUCCUUCCCCAGAGAGGCUUGGAUGUGGGCACAAUAUCAGUUCAGACGAUGGUCAAUGCAUGUACUUAAUAGAGUGAAAAGACUUUGGACUGUGAAGUCAGAUUACCUGGGUCUGAAUUGUUAUUCUUCUACUUCUUUGUAGUAUGCUUUCACCACAUUAAAAAUUGUCUGAGCCUCAAUUUUUUUAUCUGCAAAAUGGAGCUAAUACCUACACAGGGGCUUUUAAGAGAAUCAAAUGCAACAAUGUUUGAAAAGCAACAUACUCCCCUUUAUGGAAAAAGAGCCUGUAAA